UUCUGCCUGUGUCAGUGGCUCACAGAGUGCUCACCACCAGGAGUCAUAGGUGCUGCUGUCCCUCACAGUGAUGCUAUCUUGCACUGACUCUAAAUUACAAAGGGCAUGAAUGGGUGUAAAAGAUCCUCAUCAGGAAAGCCUGUUUUGCCCUGUUUUGCCUUUGUAUGCGGAACGUCUGUAAUAAGAUGCCUAGAAAUUCCAGUGAACAAAGGUGAAGAAAUCAUUGCUGCCCAUACCUCUGCUGGCAGAGCACCUUCUGUUGAAGACCUGCCUCCACAGGCUGCUCUGUGUGUUCUUGUUGACUUUUUGGCCAACACCAUGUAGCCAUCUGCUGUUCUUCUUGGCUGAUCCAGCAUUGCUGCUAACUGUUUCCAGUCAGUCCAUCACAGAAAAUGUGAAAGUCCUUAGUAGCUUCCUGCUCAUCUGUGCUCUGGUGCAGCUUUGCUAGGUGCUCCUGUGCAUGCAAAACAUUUUUAUUGUUGUUUAUUGUUAUUCUGGCUAAUGCUUUUUGGUUUGUUUCUCUCAGACAAACCAUGUCUUAAAAGUAAUGGAAGAGACCUAGAAGAUGAGUAUAAUUGCCAUAGUUUUCUAAAGGUUAUAUUUUGGUGCACUUGA